CUUCAUUAGCUGUGGGAUGUGGGCUCAGCAAUUGUGGUGCACGAGUUUAGUUGCUUCCUGGCAUGUGGGAUCUUUCCAGAUCAGAGAUGGAACCUGUGUCCCCUGCACUGGCAGACAGAUUCUUAAUCACGGGACCAUCAGGGAAGUCUAGCCUCAUUGUGUUGGAUUCCUGCAACAUGGGAAAGGCACUCCCACUAAAAACAAAAACUGGACUGAUGGCUCAGAAACAAGUGAUUCAUGUGCAUCCAACAUGAAGGAAACUACAGGCAAGUCAAAAUGAAAGCUGGAAAGAGCUCUAAUUAUUUGAAAAACUUGCCAUCUCGAAAUCUGAAAUCACAUUAGUUUGUAAAGGCUAUUCUGUUAGAACUGGAGGUUCAAAAAGUCUUGAGUGAGAGGAAGCUUUUGAAAUUCCACCUGCACAGAAAUCUUUCCACAGCCUGGCUGACAGUUGCUCAUCUAAUCUCUAGCUGAGUCUUUCCUGUAACAAGUAACUUAUUUCUAUACAGGUCCAUUCUACUGUUGAAUAUCUGGUAUGAAGUCUUCUAUAUACAGCCCAGAUGUCAUUUGCCUCUUCAGUCUCUGAAUAUUUGUAAAGUUAUGUUUCUAUUAAAACCCAAAUUAUGAUGACUUUGAGUAUCUAUGGGACUUUGUAAGAGUCCAAGUCUUUUUAGAAAACUUGGGUAUAUUUUUCAUUGCCC
rnacentral:lncRNA from 1 species